rnacentral:rRNA from 2 species
UACGUAGGUGGCAAGCGUUGUCCGGAUUUAUUGGGUUUAAAGGGUGCGUAGGCGGCCCUGUAAGUCAGUGGUGAAAUACGGCAGCUCAACUGUCGAGGUGCCAUUGAUACUGCAGGGCUUGAGUACAGACGAGGUAGGCGGAAUUGACGGUGUAGCGGUGAAAUGCUUAGAUAUCGUCAAGAACACCGAUAGCGAAGGCAGCUUACUAGACUGUAACUGACGCUGAGGCACGAAAGUGUGGGGAUCAAACAGG